GCGGGAGUAGCUCAAUUGGUAGAGCAUCAGCCUUCCAAGCUGAGGGUCGCGAGUUCGAACCUCGUCUCCCGCU
rnacentral:tRNA from 1 species